rnacentral:lncRNA from 1 species
UGGGAAUUGAAUUAGCUAGGCACCACUAGAAUUCACAAUUAUUUAUUUCGAAAAAGAUUACAUGAAUGACAUCAAAUGAUACAACUUAGUGACAUGUUACAGUAUAAAGUUAGUUAUGCAAUCAGUCCACCGACGAAAGGCACCCCGGUUUGUCCAAUCCAACCCUCGCCAACAAGGAAAUUUGUGACGGUGAAAUUGGAAGCAUCACUAGCGUUAGUGAUGACAUGAUAACCGGGCCAACCGACUCUGUUUGUUGUGUUAGAGCCGGGUCCAGUAUUAUUGUAUUCCGCAUAGUAAAGUGUGCUCAAUGCGAAAUCUCCAGACCAUGCGUUCCAGCCAGUCGGGUCAAGAAACCCGUCUAUGUAUGUCUGCAUAACAAUAGUUCUCGAAUAUUCCUUCCACGGCCGACCAAGAUAAGUUUUUACUGUAUAGUUGCUCGAAGCCAAAUCAUCCGCAGGUCUUAUCGUACACCCAUGUAACACAGUUCCAGUGUUCUGGUUGGGGUCGGUACGACCUUGAGCUGUAACCUCAUUUGCCUGACCUUUACGGGGCUGACGUGGAUAUAAAUUACAGUUUUGUAACACCACCGCAGCAUUACCAAAUAUAAAGUCAACCGUACCAUAAACAUCGCAUUCACGAUAGAAUUGUCUGAGAGAAUGCGUAUAUAAGGUAUCUUGAUAGGCUUCAAAACUACAACUAUAGAAGACAGAGAAGUCUCCACCGCUCCUCAAUGCGACGGCUUGAUUCUUGGUUGGUCCUGCCGUGUUGCGGAUUGUUAUGUUUACGCCAAUAAAGUUGGUACCUGAUAGAACUGCGAUUUAUGAACAAAAUUUAGAGUUAGUUGACUAUUUCAUUAAAACAAACCUUUUAUCAACUUCGCUUGUUGACAAUAGACAAAGAACGUCGAAAUCGUUAUGAACAAAAAAAUUAAACAACAACGUGCUUGUAAUAAACAAAAUAGGAAACAUUUUUUUUUCCUAAACGAUUUUUUGUGAGGAGUUCUAUUGGAGCGACACGUCAGCACGCUAAGUUUCAAAGUGAUGUGAGACUGACACGUGGCAAAUAUAGUGUGAACGCAUUUACUGAGAAUGCUUCUCUUUUAAUAUAUAAGGGAUGGGAAUCGCAGAAGAAAGCAGCAAGCCAAUGUGGGGUAGCGUGAGCCACACGUCUCCAGGUCCAGGCCACUCUCUCAACGGCAAAAUCAUGCUCUCCUCCGUAAUCAUCCUCUUCGCCGCCGUGCUCAUGAUGCUCUGCUUCCACAGCUACGCCCGAUGGUUAUUCCGUCGUCAAAACCGUCGCAUUCGCCGCCGUAUUCGUGCUCACCUCCGCGCUCUCUCCGCCUCCACCAUCUCCUCGACCUCCCUUUCCCCUCUCGACACGGCGGUUCUCGAGAAGAUUCGUAUCUUCGUUUACUCCUCCGAGACUCAUCAUCAAACGCCACUGGAGGAGUGCUCCGUUUGCUUGUCGGAGUUCGAAGAAGAGGACCAAGGCCGUAUCCUCCCUAAAUGUGGCCACGCUUUUCACGCUGACUGCAUCGAUACUGGGUUCCGUUCCAGAUCCACUUGCCCUCUUUGCAGAGCUCCGGUUCAACCCGAAAGUCCCUCGACCCGACCCGAAUCAGCAGAACAAGCCGCUUCGGUUAAACAACAGGUGGAGGACAUAGAAACAGGAAGUUCUUCUUCCUCCUCCUCCUCUUCUUCGUCUUCGCCGUUGAGAUUUCCGAUGGAGGCGUGUGAGAGAGAACCAAUAGAUUUAGUCGGUGUCAUGGUGGAGACUCCCCACAUAAUUUGAAGGCUCUAAUAAUAACAAUCCGGUUCUACCCAACAGCCAUAACGGAUCCACAUUUCCGGGUAAUCUGGUUGUAUCUUUGAAAAGACUAUGGAGCAUCUGGAGAAGCGUGCGGGCAAAGCAAAUGAUAUUUUUUUCUUUUCUUUUUUAAAACCGCAUGAGAUUUUGGACACGUAGCAAUAAUGCCAGCUCACGUGGCAUUAACGCUGGUCCACGUGGCCGUUACUAGUGGACCACGAGAGCGCCUACGUUAUCAUCCACCACCACUGAAACUGCCACAAGCCUGGUGGUCUACGGAGAGCUUCUUACAUAAAACUUUCAUUUGUGUAAAUUUAUUAUCACAAAAAUCGUAGCCACUGUGGGAAUUGAAUUAGCUUGGCACCACUAGAAUUCACAAUUAUUUAUUUUGAAAAAGAACACAUGAAUGACAUCAAAUGUAUAGCUUAGUGACAUGUUAUAGUAUAAAGUUAAAUUAUGCUAUCAGUCCACCGACGAAAGGCACCCCGGUUUGUCCAAUCCAACCCUCGCCAACAAGGAAAUUUGUGACCGUGAAAUUGGAAGCAUCAGUAGCGUUAGUGAUGUCAUGAUAACCGGGCCAAGUGACUCUGUUUGUUGUGUUAGAGCCGGGUCCAGUAUUAUUGUAUUCCGCAUAGUAAAGUGUGCUCAAUGCGAAAUCUCCAGACCAUGCGUUCCAGCCAGUCGGGUCAAGAAACCCGUCUAUGUAUGUCUGCAUAACAACAGUUCUCGAAUAUUCCUUCCACGGCCGACCAAGAUAAGUUUUUACUGUAUAGUUGCUGGAAGCCAAAUCAUCCGCGGGUCUUAUCGUACACCCAUGUAACACAGUUCCAGUGUUCUGGUUCGGGUCGGUGCGACCUUGAGCUGUAACCUCGUUCGCCUGACCUUUACGGGGCUGACGUGGAUAUAAAUUACAGUUUUGUAACACCACCGCAGCAUUACCGAAUAUAAAGUCAACCGUACCAUAAACAUCGCAUUCACGAUAGAACUGUCUGAGAGAAUGCGUAUAUAAGGUAUCUUGAUAGGCUUCAAAACUACAACUAUAGAAGACAGAGAAGUCUCCACCGCUCCUCAAUGCGACGGCUUGAUUCUUGGUUGGUCCUGCCGUGUUGCGGAUUGUUAUGUUUACG